GAUGAAGAACGUAGCGAAAUGCGAUACGUAAUGUGAAUUGCAGAAUUCAGUGAAUCAUCGAAUCUUUGAACGCAUAUUGCGCUCUUUGGUAUUCCGAAGAGCAUGCUUGUUUGAGUAUCAGUAAACACCUCAAAGCUUUUGGAUUUUUUAAUCGAAAAGCUUUGGUCUUGAGCAAUCCCAACACCAAUCUUUUUGAGAUCGGUGGCGGGUUGCUUGAAAUGCAGGUGCAGCUGGACAUUCUCCUGAGCUAAAAGCAUAUUCAUUUAGUCCCGUCAAACGGAUUAUUACUUUUGCUGCAGCUAACAUAAAGGGAGUUUGACCGUAUUGGCUGACUGAUGCAGGAUUUCACAAGGGUCGGCAACGAUUCUUGUUAAACUCGAUCUCAAAUCAAGUAAGACUACCCGCUGAACUUAAGCAUAUCAAUAAGCGGAGGA
rnacentral:misc_RNA from 1 species